UACGUAGGUUGCAAGCGUUAAUCGGAAUUACUGGGCGUAAAGCGUGCGCAGGCGGUUUUGUAAGUCUGACGUGAAAUCCCCGGGCUCAACCUGGGAAUUGCGUUGGAGACUGCAAGGCUAGAAUCUGGCAGAGGGGGGUAGAAUUCCACGUGUAGCAGUGAAAUGCGUAGAGAUGUGGAGGAACACCGAUGGCGAAGGCAGCCCCCUGGGUCAAGAUUGACGCUCAUGCACGAAAGCGUGGGGAGCAAACAGG
rnacentral:rRNA from 1 species